rnacentral:rRNA from 1 species
GACAGAGGCCCCGAGCGUUAGGCGGAAUCACUGGGCGUAAAGGGCGCGUAGGCGGCCUGAUAAGUCGGGGGUGAAAUCCUGUGGCUUAACCACAGGGCUGCCUCCGAGACUGUCGGGCUCGAGCACAGUAGAGGCAGGUGGAAUUCCCGGUGUAGCGGUGGAAUGCGUAGAGAUCGGGAAGAACAUCGGUGGCGAAGGCGGCCUGCUGGGCUGUUGCUGACGCUGAGGCGCGACAGCGUGGGGAGCAAACAGG